UUGCUUUGGCAGCACAUAUACUAAAAUUGUAACAAUGCAGAGAAGAUUAACAUGGCCCCAUGCAAAGAUGACAUGCAAACUCGUGAAGUGUCCCAUAUUUUU
rnacentral:snRNA from 1 species